UGUUAAGGACGUCGAUAAAUGCAAGCCUAAUUGAUCACUUCAUAUGCUUCAAAGUUAAAUGGUCCUUGUAUCCAUGUGUGACUUUUUUGAUGAGUUCUACCUCAACAAAACCACCAAUUAAUUGUUGUAAAGGAGCAAAUAAUUUAUUGCAAAUGGCUAGUACAACUAUAGUUAGGAGAAAUAUUUGCAAAUGUCUUACAAAUACUUCAAUAAAAUCGAAAAUUAAUUAUACCAAAGCAACACAACUUCCACAACUUUGCAGUAUCAAUAUUUCUUUUCCAUUAAAUUUUAAUGCUAGUUGCGACUCGUAUGUUUUCCUUCUAUUUUUUUUAUAACUCUCACAAAAUUGCACGUACAACUUUUAUUCUUAUUUUAUAAUUCUUCUAAAUAUUAUUUUUAAUUAUGUAUAGGAUUCCAUGAAGCUACAAAAGGGGAACAACGUGGAGGAAGCUUUUCUUUUAUAUAUAUAAAAUGUGAACGAAGUUUUAAGUACCGCAAAGAAGAGUAUAGCAAUAAGGAAGGAUAGAAAUUGUAACAAUUCAUUAAAGUUGGAUGUGUUUCGUAUAUUUUAAAAAUAAAAAAUAUAGUCAUACAUCUUUUUCAUUAAAUUUUGGUUUCUAAAUUUCUAAAGCUUUACAUUUUGUUGCUACAAGUUUGUCUUCACCAAACUAAUGGUUCAUGUUUAAUUAAAUUAUAAUUAAUAGUCCUUGAAAGUUUGAUAUUUUUAUUAUUUGACGAAAACCAUUCAAAUUACAUAAAGUUUUUGGUGCUGUUGGUCAAGAAUUGUGUUUUCAUUGACUAUAAAUUGAAUUGUUGAUUUAGUUAACUCAAAAAGUUUAAUAAUUGUAUUUAUUAGUCAUAAAAAAUCUUCUUAAUUUGCUUAAUUUGUUUUGUGUAAGUAAUUUUCUUUCUUUAAUGAGAAAAAUCUGAAAUCUUGUAACUAUAUAUAUAUAUAUUUCAACUAACUAUAUUAUAAAUCGAGUUUUUAUUUUACGUAUGAAGUUUUUGGAACACAAAUAUAUAAUUUUAAAGUUUAUUUGGGUCAUUAUAUUUUCAUUAGUCAAAUUAAACUACUAGAUCUAUGAUUAAAGAUAUAGGAGAUUUAUAAUAUACACACCUAAAAGAUAGAAGAGUUGUAUGUGAGCAACCUACUAGAGUUUUGUCUGGACUAAAAAAAAAAACAUUUGUAAUUACUUUAGAAUGAAGGACAAUCUUCUAAAUUUAUAUUAGUGGGUGUAAGUUAGCACCUUAUACACUUAAUAUUUAGUCAAAAAAAAAAUAUUUAUUUUUUCAUAUUUUAAAUUAGAAUUGAAUUUCUUUUUUUUUUUUUUUUUUUUUUUUUUUUUUUUUUUUUUUUUAUAUUUUUAUUUUUUUUUUUUUUUUUUUUUUUUUUUUUUUUUUUUAUCUUUAUACAUAUAUCAUAUUUUUUAUUUAGUCGUUUUAAAUUUUUCUUUAAACAAUUAUCUUUUAAAUAUUUUCUAUCAAUAAUUUUGGUCUCUAUUUUGAUAUCAAUUCUUAUGUAUUAUGUGAAUUUUUGAAUGAAUUUUUACAUGCAUAUUUAAAAAAUUAUAUUAAUUGAUCAUACAAAAGUUUUGAAUUUUUUAACGAGGGAUGAAUUAAAUAUGAAUUUUUGAAGUUUUUAGUAUUUAAAAAUUCAUAUUUAAUUCAUUUUUUGUUAAAAGAUUCUAAAUUUUUUGCAGAAAAUUCCUAUAAUAUUACAAAUAUGCAUCUAAAAAUAUUUCAAAAAUUUGAAUGACAGUAGAUACCAAAAUUGUUGAUAGAAAAUAUUUGAUGAGUUAUUAUUUGAAAGAUAAAUUUCAAAAAAAAACUAAAAUCAAAAUACAAAAUAUUCAUAGGGACCAAAAACUUAUUUUGACCUUUAAUUAUUUUUAAUUCAAAUAUCAUUUUGUUAAUUUCAUUUUACUUAAAACCACUAACCAUUUAUUGAAACAUAGACAUUGUUUUUUCUUUUUAUUAAAAAACAAAAUUUAAGAAUAAGUCAUAAAAUAUUAAAGCACCCAAAUUGUCCACUAAAAUAUAUAAAUUAUUUGAUUUUAAUCGGUCAAAUGAGUAGUUAGUACCGUUGCAUCCUAUAAACCCAAAACGAUUAACCCAUUUGAAAAACCAAGACUCUAAUCUUUAUAAAAAAUUAGAAUAAACUAUUUCAAUCAAAGAAUUGGAAUAAGAAUACAAUUUGGAUUAACUCAUGAACAACCUAUAAUAUGUGACGCUUAAUUAGAAGACUUUGGAGAUAGAGUUAAUUUUUGUUAGUUGAUUUUCAAUUAGUUAGAUGUAACUAUUUUGUUUGUUACUCUUAAAUUGUAAACAACUUAUGUAUAAGGCAAAACAAGCGAGGCUGAAAAAAGAGAAGACAAAAAAGAGAGAACAAAUAGAAGCAAGCUGCACUCUUUUAAUUGGGCCGAAAACUUGCAGCAGAAAACUUCAAGAUAGUUGCAAACAUUUUCAUCUCAUAAUAGUGAUAAUUAAAGUCUGAUCCAAUAUCUCAGACGUAGGAGUUCAUCUCUGAACUGGAUUAACAAUUGUGUGUGUUCAUUUUAUAAUUGAAAGACUUAGAUUCUGUUUGGCAAAAAACGGAGAACCUUGCCCGUUUUACAGUCCGAUUAUUUUGCGUUUUUUAGAAACUAAGAACAUUAUUGGUUUAUUGACUGAUUGAUCCCCGUUUUUAACAACACAAUAAAAUGACGUUAACCCAUUUUAAUUAAACAAAUUGGGAAUAAACUAUUAAGCUAUUUUGAGAAACACCAAAUGACAUUACCCUUUUGAAUUAAAAAAAAUUAGAAAAAACUAUUAACCAUUGUGAGAAAUCAAACUCAUAUGGAAAUAAAGAAUAAAAAAACAUAUAAAAGCUAUGUAAACAGUAGCUGUAAAAGGAAAGAUAAGUAAAAUAAACUAUAAUAUUGAAAUAGAUAGUGAAACAGAAGGGAAGAGUAAAUAAACUAACAUGAUACAAACAAAUUGAGAACAAAAUAGGGAAAAAGGGAACAAAAUAAUAAGAAAAGAGAAAGAUUGUUUCUCCAAUUAUAUAUUUUGGGGUUGCUAUUAUACAGACGUGUAUAAUUUGUAUAGAACGACAACAUAAUGCUCUUUCAGUCAAAAAAAUAACAUACUUCUCUUUGUCCCUUUUGAGAAAAAACUAAGGCAAAUACAUUAAAAAAAUAUUUUAAACAAUUGAAAUAUCUUAUAAUUUAGAAUAUCAAUUCCAUCAAGGUUCGUAGAUUUUUCAAGUACAUGUAUUCAUCAUUUUUAAUUGACAGUAUAUUAAUUAGAAAGAGUUUGGGUUGAAUAUAUCUGAAUAAUUUAUGUACAAUUAUUUUAUUUCCUCAACGCUAUUAGCUUUAUGGUUCAAGUUUAAUAUUUUAAGUAUAAAUUAUUAUAUAAUUUCAUUUUUGUUUAAUUUGACCUUAGAGAAGUUUGAGAAAUGAAAUUUAAUAUUUGAAUUUCACCGUUGAUAUUAAAUGAUAUAAUAAUUAAAAGUAUGAAAAGCAUUUAAAAGAAUAUAUUUAUGAUUUAUAUUAUGAUUAUUAAUUGAAUUAAUUGAUAUUGUGAACUAAUGAUUUUCAUAAAUAUGUGAUUUUUCUAAUAAAAUGAUGAAUUAGACUGGAAAUGGAAUAACUAUAUGGAUUAUAUAUAUGUAUAUUUAAAACUAUACUAAAAUAUAUUUUAUUUGAUUUUAUUAAUAUAAUUUUAUAUUUUAAAUGUUUUAAUUAUUUUAUAUUAAUUAAAUAAACAAUUUUUUAAUUUUUCAAAAGUUAAAAAAGAAAAUAUGCAUAUAUAUAUAUAUACAUAUUUUUCAAAAGUUAAAAAUUUGCAUAUGCCACUCAUAAAGGUAUCAAACUCUUCCAAAUUUGCAUUGCUCUUGUUACUAGAGUUGAGGCCAUCAGAAUACUUAUGGCAUAUGCCACUCAUAAAGGUAUCAAACUCUUCCAAAUGGAUGUUAAAAGUGCAUUUUUGAACGGUUUCUUAAAUGAGGAGGUAUAUGUUGACCAACCUUCUAACUUUGUGAAUAAAAAGAAACCUAACCAUGUGUUUAAACUCUCAAAAGCUCUUUACAGAUUAAAGCAAGCUCUUCGAGCUUGGUAUGAGAAGUUUAGUUCCAUUUGGAUAUAAUCUUUAGGUCUACGAAUGAAAGGACGUGUGAAGAUUUCUUUAACCUCAUGCAAAGUGAAUUCGAAAUGAGCAUGAUGGGAUAACUGAAAUUUUUUCUUGGUUUACAAAUCAAAUAAUUAAAAAUUGGCAUCUUUAUUUCUCAAGAGAAAUACACUAAAGAUUUGCUCAAAAAAUACAACAUGGAGUCAAGAAAAUUAUGGAAACUCAUAUGCAUUCAUCCUCAAUGUUACACAAAGAUGAUGAAGGAACUCCCAUAUCUGAAAAGGAGUAUAGAUGAAUGAUUUGAUCAUUAUUAUACUUAACAGCAAGCAGACCUGACUUAGUAUUUGCAGUUGGUCUGUGUGCCAGAUUCCAAUCCUCACCAAAAGAAUCACACCUCACAGCUGUAAAACGAAAUCUCAAAUAACUUGUUGACACAACUGAUCUGGGUUUAUGGUAUAAAAAAUGUCAAGAUAUUGAUCUUACAUCAUACUGCAAUGUUGACUAUGCAGGAGACAAAGUGGAAAGAAAGAGUACAAGUGGAGCUUGUCCAUUUCUUGGAAAAUAUCUCAUAAGUUGGUCAUGCAAGAAACAAAACACCAUUGCCCUAUCAACUAAAGAGGUUGAAUAUGUAUCAGCUGCACAAUGUUGUUCUCAGAUACUAUGAGUAAAAAAAUUAACUUGAAGACUAUUCUCUAAGGUACACCAAAGUACCCAUCGUCUGUGACAAUACUAGUGCUAUUAAUCUUUCAAAAAAUCCCACACAACAUUCUAGAUCUAAGCAUACUGAAAUUAAGCAUCAUUUCAUAUGAGAUGAUGUUCAAAAGGGAGAUAUUGAAUUAAUUUUCAUUGAAAUUGAAAAUCAAUUAGCUGAUAUUUUUACCAAAUAUUUCCCAGAGGUUCAUUUCAAAAAUAUUAUGGAAAAACUCUCAAUCAUCAAAAUGUCAAAUUUAAAUGAAUUGUUUAAAUGCAUUGUUUAAAUUAAUUGUUUAAAUGCAUUAAAUACAUUGUUGAAAUUAAUUGUUUAAAUGCAUUAAUUGUCAAAACUGUUGAUCCCGAUGACUGAAAGUCAUUUCCAGACUGUAAUAACGUUCUCCUCUACAAGUUAGAGGAUGAGCAACUCGGAUUAAGCACUCAUCCUCCUCCGUGGAAAACCAAAAGUCACCUUUGAUAAGCACUCCUUUAUGCAUACGUGUUUCCUGUUGUUGACUUUCAGCAUGUCUGCACGCCACCUCUUCACCUCUCGUCAUUCAUUAAAGAGGUUUCAAUGUUGAAGAGAUCUUUGGUAAACUAUGAUAGACUUCUUUCUUACGGAUUGACGAACCCCAAUAUCGCAAACUAGUUAAGGCGUUUUAUGCUGCAACCAAUGUAUCGAAAGGAGAUACUUGCAUUAGCAUGGUACUCAAAGGAGUUCAUCUGAAAAUUACCCCAACAACAUUAUGUCAAAUAUUGGACAUUCGUGAUGAAGGUUCAUACUAUUUCACUUAAGAUUGGUAUUUUGUGUGCAGGAUUUCCAGAACUCUGUCCUCAAAAGCGCACUCAUUAAUCCUCCCAAACCUCAUAUUGCCUCCAACCUUUUCCUCAUGUGUCGCAUUCUACACAACAUCUGUGUACAUUCGGUUGUGCCUCGAGCAGGGAGCUUCGAAAAACUCACUAAACUUGACUUCUUGUUGAUCCACUACCUCAUCUCCGGAACUCCUCUCCAUUUGGUUAACAUUCUGUUUUACUUCAUCUUGAAUGUUGCAAGACUGUGUAGGUCCGCUCCUUAUAGGAUGAUACUCUCUAGGACUUUUAAAUUUUUUUAAAUCCCUCUUGAAGAUGAAAACUCUGUAUACUUAAACAACAUUUUUUCCUUGAGAAAUGUCAAUCAGAUGCAACUCAAACCCUCAGACAAACCUAUAACCAAGGAAUCCACCAAAGAUAGUUUCGUACCCACACUAACAAAGAAAAGAUCCUCUACUUCUACAUCAUCCACAAAGAAGAAAAUUCAAAAAAUCACUCGCAAAACUCCAAAACCAUCAACUAAGCAUCCUUCCUCAAAGGAUGACAACUCUAACCCCAUCCAGGAACAACAAACUCCUGAAGAACAAAUCACCACUCAACCAACUCAUAAUGUUGAUCCCGUCCUACCUCACUCUCUCAAUCUCAUUGCCUCUCCAACUCAUCUCGAAGAUUAUCCUCCCUUAGAGGAUGAACCACAUGAUACUCAUCUGCAACUUAUGGAGGACGGUGAAGAACUCUACUUUGAUCUUAAUCUAUCUCAUCAUCAGUUCUCACCUCUAGGAACAUCGCAAGCUAGAAAGCAUACAUAUAAAUCCCAAAAUUUACAAGCUACUUUCUUAUUUCCACGAUAUCCUACUGUGAGCCCAUGAGAACAUCCUCAGAUUUCCUGCACCAUGUCUCAAUUGUUUCCAUCCGCUCAAAAGGUAAGUGUUGCUGCUGAUGUUCCUCUUACUCAUACGUUAACACAUAAACAAUAAAUCCAAGUCAAAAUAAAAAGAAGAUAAAAUUGUGGACAAACAGUUAUAAGAGAAACAAUUCAAGAAGGAGAGGAUACAAGACAAAGGUUAACAAUAAGAGGAUAAUAUGAUGAUCUUAUUCAUCCUCACGCAUAGAGAAUAGUCAAAAAGGAAAAAGGUUGUACCUAACCAGAAAAGAAGGACCCUAAAAGUAUUUGAAAAGUAAAAAGGAAAAAUAUAGCUCAUGUCUGAAUUUCGAGGAAGAUUAAACCUCCUAUCCCAGGAUGAACUGCAAACUCAUCCUCUUGAGCUCAUAUGUUUCAAGGGAAGCUGAAUGACAUUCUUGUAAAUUAGACCAAGAACCUUGGACAUUUGAUCAAGUCUCCAACAGUCAUCAAAUUCCUUUUCUUCAUGGAUAGAGGUUCAUAAACUCUAUAAAAGGAAGUGAUCUCUUUAGUUCAAAAUACAACAACUAUAUAUACAAAGAAUAUUUCUCAAAGCUAAAAAGAUAAUUUCAAUCCUCUCUUUACACUUUUUAUAGUCCUAAACUAUAUCUUUAAGAAUAUCCUCUUAGAAAGUUCUUGUAAAGAGAAAGAUCAUACAAUCAUCACAUAUCAUUUAUUAUGUAUCUUCCAAGUUGCCCUACACUUGGUAAUAUUUGUAAUUUGAAAGGAAACGAAAUUGAAAGUCUGGUGAGGCUAAGAAUAUACAUUGAGAAAAAGAGGUCCGUAAAGAGGACAGAUCAGUUUGAGCCAUAGUGAAAAUUCACAAGUCUGUGAGGACUUGACGUAGCUAACAUUGGGUGAACCAGUAUAAAUUUGGGUGUGUCGUUCUCUAUACUUUCUCAUUUUUAUUUACUUAACUGUCACUUAAAGUUUUUAAACAUCUAUCCUCUUAAUUUUAUCUUCUCGUAUAGGAUACAACUUUAAAAGAAAAUUUUAAAAACUCCAAUAUCUCUAUUCAACCCCCCCUUCUAGUGAUAUUUUAGCUACUUCAGAUAAAACAACAUAGAUUCACUUUAUCAGAGUUUCACUGCACCGUAGAAAAUCGUUAUAGAAUUACACCCUCAAUAUGGCAGUUAAAGUCAUUCACAAUAUGACGAUUAAAAUCACUCACAAUAUGGUACUAUGACCACUCUUAAAUCAAAAGAGCUACGACACAAAAAUUGUUCUAAAAGACUACAACACAUAAACCUCUACAAAAGAUUACGACACAAAAACCGCUCAUAGUGGUAUUAGGACCACUAAAAAAUCGACGAGACUACACGUUUAAAAAUGCUUUAAAAGGAUAGUGGUAUUAGGACCAUUCAAAAAUCGACGAAACUACGACGUAACAACCGCUCUAAAAAUCGAAGGGAAGACACUAUGGCAUAACAACUGCUCUAAAAACGAAGGGACAUAAAGAGAGGGGGAGAAAUGGCUCGGAAAUCAGUCGAGCAGAAUAAAAAAGAGAGAAAAGAGACAGUUGGAAAAUGCAUCAAACUUUGGUGUACUUUUCAAGAGAGUUUGAAACUCAUUAUAUAGUGAUGGAAGCAAACUCAUAUAUGUUUUAUAUCCAAUGUGAGACUUUAAUAUUUAUAGAGUUGAAAGCUACUCAAAAUAUGUGAGUUUUCCAGUGUGAGACUUCAACAAUUUUUAAAUUCACUCUAUGUUCCAACAAUCCCCCACUUUAAUUUAAAAAAAGUGUUUCUGAAAUAGCGUCAAAUGCUUUUAUAAGAUCGUGCAUAAACAAAUGGGUCUUUUGACUUAAACUUUGCAUAGUAAGUAAGAUUCAGCUUCAACAAGAGUGACUCAUAGUCUUGAACUCUAUCUCUGACAUCUCUGACAACAAACCCACACACAACCUUUUCAUAUGGUGUAUUCUCAAAAGCUCGUGCAUUAACGGCCCUACACUUUUAUCCCAAUAUAGUGAACGCUCUACGAAUUUUGCCUCAAAAUUCCAUAGGAAGCGGACCCACUUCUACAUUCACAUAGUUGAAUCUAUCAAGAGUAUUCUUGUAGUUAGGUACUGCACUCCAUAUAGAGUAUAUAUCUCAUUAAGAUUUUCUAUUAUCUCAUCCAUUUAUCGCUUCAAGAAUCACGCUUCUCUCAUAUAUAAUAUAGCAUGUUCAUCUCAUAUCAUUAUGACUUGUUAUUAUCCAUUAAACCUAAUUCUUGGGAUCUCCAGUAUUUUAAGUUGGCUUACCUAUGCAAUGUAGUAACUAUUUAUAAUAACUAUUUAUAGUAAAUCUUUUUUAAAAAAACUAUGCAAUGUAAAUAGUAAUAAAAUAUUAUUUAGUAUAAUAAUUAUAUCAAUAAAAUAUUUAAUUAGUCGACCGGAAAAUGGAAUGUAUCAUAUCCAAGCUAUAAAUAAAGGAAUGGUUCUAGUGGUUGAUUCCAAAAAAAACUCAUUGAAACAUCACACAUAUCAAUAUUUGAAAUUAAAAUGGCAAGGAAGAACAUGGUUGAUCUUUUGGUGUUUGUAAUGGUUUUGGCUUUGUUAAGGACGUCGAUAAAUGCAAGCCUAAUUGAUGGCUUCAUAUGCAUCAAAGUUAAAUUGUCCUUGUAUCCAUGUGUGACAUUUUUGGAGAGUUCUACCUCAACAAAACCACCCAUUAAUUGUUGUGAAGGAGCAAAUAGUUUAUUGCAAAUGGCUAGCACAACAAUAGAUAGGAGAAAUGUCUGCAAAUGUCUUAUAAGUACUUCAACAAAAUCAAAAGUUAACUCUACUAGAGCAAAAGAGCUUCCACAACUUUGCAGUAUCAAUAUUUCUUUUCCAUUAAAUUCUGAUAUUAAUUGCGACUCGUAUGUUUACCUUUCACUUUUCUUGAUAACUCACAAAAUUGCACCUACAACUUUUAUUCUUAUUUUAUAAUUCUUCUAAAUAUUCUUUUUAAUUAUGUAUAGGAUUCCAUGAAGCUACAAAAGGGGAACAACGUGAAGGAAGUUUGAAGUACCGCAAAGAAGAGAUAGCAAUAAGGAAAUGAUAGAAAUUGUAAUAAUUCAUUAAAGUUGAAUGUGUUUCCUGUAUUUUGCAAAUGAAAAAUAUAAUCAUAUGUCUUUUUUACUCAUUCUUAAUUAUAAUCAUACAUCUAAAAAUAUUUCAAAAAUUUGAAUGACACGCAUGAAUUAAUUUAAAAGGAGAUAUCAAAAUUGUUGAUAGAAAAUAUUUGAAGAGUCAUUAUUUGAAGAAAAAUUUCAAAAAAAAUUAAACACAAAAUACAAAAUAUUCAUAAGGAUCAAAAACUUAUUUUGACCUAUAAUUAUUUUUUAAUUCAAAUAUCAUUUUGUUAAUUUCAUUUUACUUAAAACCACUAAACCAUUUAUUGAAAGAUAGACAUUGUUUUUUCUUUUUAUUAAAAAAUAAUAUGUAAGAAUAAGUCAUAAAAUAUUAAAGCACCCAAAUUGUCCACUAAAAUAUAUCAAUUAUUUGAUUAUAAUCGGUUCAAAUGAAUAAUUAGUACCGUUGCAUCCUAUAAACCCAAAACUAUUAACCCACUUGAAAAACCAAGACUCUAAUCUAUAUGAAAAAUUAGAAAAAACAAUUACAAUCAAACAAUUGGAAUAAGAAUAAAAUUUGGAUUAAUUUAUGAACAACCUGUAAACCUGUAAUAUGUGACACUCAAUUAGAAGACUUUGGAGUUAAAGUUAAUUUUGAUUAGUUAGUUGUAACUAUUUUGUUUGUUACUCCUAAAUUGUAAACAACUUGUAUAUAAGGCAAAACAAGCAAGGCUGAAAAGAGAAAACAAAAAAGAGAGAGAACAAAUAGAAGCAAGUUGCAAAAAAGAGAGAGAACAAAUAGAAGCAAGUUGCAGUCUUUUAAUUGUGACGAAAACUGGUAGUAGAAAACUGAUAGUUGCAAACAUUUUAAUCUCAUAAUAGUGAUAAUUAAAGUCUGAUCCAGUACCUCAAACGCAGGAGUUCAUUUAUGAACUGGAUUAACAAUUGUGUAUGUUCAUUUUACAAUUAAAAGACUUCGAUUUUGUUUGGCAAAAAACGGAAAACCUUAUCCGUUUUUCAAAAAUCAAGAACAUUAUUAGUUUAUUGACCGAUUGAUCUCAAUUUUUAACAAAAUACAAUUAAAUGACGUUAACCCAUUUUAAUUAAACAAAUUGGGAAUAAACUAUUAAGCUAUUUUGAGAGACACCAAAUGACAUUACCCUUUUGAAUAAAUUUUUUUAGAAAAUGCUAUUAACCAUUGUGAGAAAUCAAACUCAUAUGGAAAUAAAUAAUUAAAAAAAAACAUAUAAAAACUAUGUAAACAGCAGCUGUAAAAGGAAAAAUAAGUAAAAUAAACUAUAAUAUUGAAAUAGAUAGUGAAACAGAAGGGAAGAGUAAAUAAACUAACAUGAUACAAACAAAUUGAGAACAAAAUAGGGAAAAAGGGAACAAAAUAAUAAGAAAAGAGAAAGAUUGUUUCUCCAAUUAUAUAUUUUGGGGUUGCUAUUAUACAGACGUGUAUAAUUUGUAUAGAACGACAACAUAAUGCUCUUUCAGUCAAAAUAACAACAUACUUCUCUUUGUCCCUUUUGAGAAAAAACUAAGGCAAAUACAUUAAAAAAAUAUAUAUUACAAUUGAAAUAUUUUAUAAUUUAGAAUAUCAAUUCCAUCAAGGUUCGUAGAUUUUUCAAGUACAGUUAUGUAUUCAUCAUUUUUAAUUGACAGUAUAUUAAUUAGAAAGAGUUUGGGUUGAAUAUUUCUGAAUAAUUUAUGUACAAUUAUUUUAUUUCCUCAACGCUAUUAGCUUUAUGGUUCAAGUUUAAUAUUUUAAGUAUAGAUUAUUAUAUAAUUUCAUUUUUGUUUAAUUUGAUCUUAUAGAAGUUUGAGAAAUGAAAUUUAAGAUUUGAAUUUCACCAUUGAUAUUAAAUGAUAUAAUAAUUAAAAGCAUGAAAGUCAUUUAAAAGAAUAUCUUUAUGAUUUAUAUUAUGAUUAUUAAUUGAAUUAAUUGAUAUUGUGAACUAAUUAUUUUGAUAAAUAUGUGAUUUUUCUAAUAAAAUGAUGAAUUAGACUGGAAAUGGAAUAACUACAUGGAUUAUAUAUAUUAUAUAUAUAUAUUUGAAAAACUAUACUAAAAUGUAUUUUAUUUGAUUUUACUAAUAUAAUUUCAUUUUUUUAAUAUUUUAAUUUUUUUAAUCAGUUAUAUAAACCAUUUUUUAAUUUUUGAAAAGUUAAAAAAGAAAAUAUAUAUAUAUAUAUACAUGUAGUAGUUGGUCGGAUUCUCUAGAUGCAACCUCUUAUUAAAUAAAAAAGAAAAAAAUUUACAUGCUCGCAUCACGGGGAUGUGACCUCCUACUAGUGUCAAAAAAUAUAUUUUUAUUCAAAGUAGAACAAGGUUAGAGCCAACAAAAAGGAUCUUAAAAAAUAAAUUAAAUGAGGACGGAGAAGUCAUCUGAAAUAAAGCAAGACUAAUGGCACAAGGUUACAAUCAACAAAAGUGAAUUGAUUGUGAUGAAACAUUUGCUCCUGUUGCUAGACUUGAGGCCAUCAGAAUACUUAUGGCUUAUGCUACUCAUAAAGGUAUCAAACUCUUCCAAUUGGAUGUUAAAAGUGCAUUUUUGAAGGGUUUCUUAAAUGAGGAUGUAUAUGUUCACCAACCUCCUAAGUUUGUGAACAAAAAGAAACCUAACCAUGUGUUUAACUCUCAAAAGCUCUUUACGGAUUAAAGCAAGCUCCUCGAGCUUGGAAUGAAAGGUUGAGUUCCAUUUGGAUAUAAUCUUUAGGUCUACGAAUGGAAGGAUGUGUGAAGAUUUCUUUAACCUCAUGCAAAGUGAAUUUAAAAUAAGCAUGAUGGGAUAACUGAAAAUUUUUCUUGGUUUACAAACUAAACAAUUAAAAACAGGCAUCUUUAUUUCUCAAGAGAAAUACACCAAAGAUUUGCUCAAAAAAUACAACAUGGAGUCAGGAAAAAUUAUGGGAACUCAUAUGCAUCCAUCCUCAAUGUUACACAAAGAUGAUGAAGGAACUCCCAUAUCUGAAAAGGAUGACAUAUGAAUGAUUGGAUCAUUAUUAUACUUAUAAGCUAGCAUACCUGACUUAGUAUUUGCAGUUGGUCUGUAUGCCAGAUUCCAAUCCUCACCAAAAGAAUCACACCUCACAGCUGUAAAACGAAACCUCAAAUAUCUUGUUGGCUCAACUGAUCUAGGUUUAUGGUAUAAAAAAUAUCAAGAUAUUGAUCUUACAGCAUACUGCAAUACUGACUAUGCAGGAGACAACGUGGAAAGAAAGAGUACAAGUGGAGCUUGUCAAUUUCUUGGAAAAUCUCUCAUAAGUUGGUCAUGCAAGAAACAAAGCACCAUUGUCCUAUCAAAUAAAGAGGUUGAAUAUGUAUUAGCUGUACAAUGUUGUUCUCAGAUACUAUGGGUAAAAAAAUAAACUUGAAGACUAUUCUCUAAGGUACACCAAAAUACCCAUCGUCUGUGACAAUACUAGUGCUAUUAAUCUUUCAAAAAAAUCCCACAUAACAUUCUAGAUCUAAGCAUAUUGAAAUUAAACAUCAUUUCAUACGAGAUCAUGUUCAAAAGGGGGAUAUUGAAUUGAUUUUCAUUGAAAUUGAAAAUCAAUUAGCUGAUACUUUUACCAAAUAUUUCCAAGAGGAUCGUUUCAAAAAUAUUAUGGAAAAACUCUCAAUCAUCAAAAUGUCAAAUUUUAAUGAAUUGUUUAAAUGCUUUGUUUAAAUUAAUUGUUUAAAUGCAUUAAAUACAUUAUUGCAAUUAAUUGUUUAAAUGCAUUAAAUACAUUAUUGCAAUUAAUUGUUUAAAUGCAUUAAUUGUCAAAACUGUUACUCCCGAUGACUGAAAGUCAUUUCCAGACUAUAAUAAUGUUCUCCUCUAAAAGUUAGAGGAUGAGCAACUUGGAUUAAGCACUGAUCCUCCUUUGUGGAAAAACCAAAAGUCACCUUUGGUAACCACUCAUUUCUGCAUUCGCGUUUCCUGUUGCUGACUUUCAGCAUGUCUACACGCCACCCCUUCACUGCUCGUUAUUCAUUAAGGAGGUUUCAAUGUUGAAUAGAUCUUUGAUCAACUAGGAUAUACUUCUUUCUUACGGAGAUACUUGCAUUAGCAUGGUACUCAAAGGAGUUCAUCUGAAAAUUACCCCAACAAUAUUAUGUCAAAUAUUGGACAUUCGUGAUGAAGGUUCAUACUAUUUUACUGAAGAUUGGUAUUUUGUGUGCAGGAUUUCCAGAACUCUGUCCUCAAAAGCACACUCAUUAAUCCUCCAAAACCUCAUAUUGCCUCCAACCUCCUCCCCAUGUGUCGCAUUCUACACAACAUCUGUGUAUAUUCGAUUGUGCCUCGAGCAGGGAGCUUCGAAAAACUUACUAAACUUGACCUCUUGUUGAUCCACUACCUCAUCUCCGUAACUCCUCUCCAUUUGGUUAACAUUCUGUUUUACUUCAUGUUAAAAUCCAUCUUGAAGAUGAAAACUAUGUAUAGUUAAACACACAUUUUUUCCUUGAGAAAUGUCAAUCAGAUGCAACUCAAACCCUUAAACAAACCUAUAACCAAGGAAUCCACCAAAUAUAGUUUCGUACCCACACCAACAAAGAAAAGAUCCUCUACUACUAUAUCAUACACUAAGAAAAAAAUUCAAAAAAUCACUCAAAAAACUCCAAAACCAUCAACUAAGCAUCCUCCCUCAGAGGAUGACAACUCUAACCCCAUCCAGGAACAACAAAAUCUUGAAGAACAAAUCACCAUUCCACCAACUCACACUGUUGAUCCAUUCCUACCUCACUCUCUUAAUCUCAUGCCUCUCCAACUCAUCUUGAAGACUGUCCUCCCUUUGAGGAUGAACCACAUGAUACUUCUCUGCAACUUAUGGAGGACGGUGAAGAACUCUACUUUGAUCUUAAUCUAUCUCAUCAUCAGUUCUCACCUCCAGGAACACCUCAAGCUAGAAAGCAUACAGAUUUCCUGCACCAUGUCUUAAUUGUUUCCAUCCGCUCAAAAGGUAAGUGUUGCUGCUGAUGUUCCUCUUACUCAUACCUUAACACAUAAACAAUGAAUCCAAGUCAAAAUAAAAAGAAGAUAAAAUUGAGGACAAACAGUUACAAGAGAAACAAUUCAAGAAAGAGAGGAUACAAGACAAAGGUUAACAAUAAGAGGAUACUAUGCUAAUCUUAUUCAUCCUCGUACAUAGAGAAUAGUCAAAAAGUAAAAAGGUUGUACCUAACCAGAAAAGAAGGACCCUAAAAGUCUUUGAAAAGUAAAAAGGAAAAAUAUAGCUCAUGUUUGAAUUUCGAGGAAGAUUAAACCUCUUUUCUGAGGAUGAACUGCAAGCUCAUCCUCCUGAGCUCAUAUGUUUUAACGACAGCUGAAUGACAUUCUUGUAAAUCAUACCAAGAACCUUGGACAUUUGGUCAAGUCUCCAACAGUCAUCAAAUUCCUUUUCUUCAUAGAUAGAGGUUCAUAAACUCUAUAAAAGGAAGUGAUCUCUUUAGUUCAAAAUACAACAACUAUAUAUACAAAGAAUAAUUCUCAAAGCUAAAAAGAUAAUUCCCAUCCUCUCUUAUACUUUUUAUAGUCCUAAAAUAUAUCUUUAAGAAUAUCCUCUUAGAAAGUUCUUGUAAAGAGAAAGAUCAUACAAUCAUCACAAAUCAUUUAUUAUGUAUCUUCCAUGUUGUUCUACACUUGGUAAUACUUGUAAUUUGAAAGGAAACGGAAUUGAAAGUCUGGUGAGGCUAAGAAUAUACAUUGAGAAAAAGAGGUCCGUAAAGAAGACAGAUCCGUUUGAGCCAUAGUGAAAACUCACAAGUUUGUGAGGACUUGACGUAGCCAACAUUGGGUGAACCCGCAUAAAUUUGGGUGUGUCAUUUUCUAUACUUUCACAUUUUUAUUUACUUAACUGUCACUUAAAGUUUUUUAAUUUCUAUCCUCUAAAUUUUAUCCUCUCAUAUAGGAUACAACUUUAAAAGAAAAUUUUAAAAACUCCAAUAUCUUUAUUCAACCCCCAUUCUAGUGAUAUUUUAGCUACUUCAGAUAAAACAACAUAGAUUCAUUGUAACGGAGUUUCACUGCACCGUAGAAAAUCGUUAUAGAAUUAAACCCUCAAUAUGGCAAUUAAAGUCAAUCUCAAUAUGACGAUUAAAAUCACUCAUAAUAUGGUAAUAUGACCACUCUGAAAUCAAAAGGACUACGACACAAAAACCAUUCUAAAAGACUGCAACACACAAACCUCUACAAAAUAUUACGACACAAAAACCGCUCAUAGUGGUAUUAGGACCACUAAAAAAUCGACAAGACUACAACUUAAAAAAUGCUCUAAAAGGAUAGUGGUAUUAAAACCACUCAAAAAUCGACAGAACUAUGACAUAACAACCGCUCUAAAAAUCUAAGGGACUAUGAUAGCGUUUCAGCAAGUGUACUAAAUCGUUGCAAGUAAUAAUAAAACGGUAGUACCGAGUGUCGAACUCAAGGAUUGCGUUUUACUAUUGAAUUAUAUUUAGUUACUAAAAUUGAACAAAAAGUUCCCAAAUUGAUUGAAAUAAUAGUUAAAAUUGACAGCAGUAGUAAAAUUGAUCUUUUAUAAAUUGAGAAAAAUGUCAGGAAUGAGUUUCACUUCGAAUCCAACCUUGGUGUCUAAUUUGAUCCUAGUUAUUAAAUUCCUUUAUUGAAUUAUUACCGAAUUCUCUUUAUUAUUCUUGCCCUAAUGUCUUAGUGACAUAACCUUUAAUUCUAAAGUAACCCCUAAUUCCUUAGUAGAUUUAAGAUUAGAACUAAGCAUUACCGUAUAGAAAUUCUCUUGUAAAUUAUUGAUUUGCAACUAAUUUAAUUGGUUUCAUGACCUGCAUCUAUGUCUAGACUACAAAUUCAAGAAUUUCUCAUCUCAAGCAUUCGUAAAGUCCACUUUCGUUUCAAAAUACAAAUCGUAGAACAUUUUAAUGUUGAUCAAGCAAUAAAAAGCAUUAAGCACAGAGAUGAGAAAAAUAAUUCAAUAAACUCAUUCAUAUAACUAGAAAUCAAAUCAUAAAAAUAAAGGUUUCAUCUUGUUACACUCAUCCCUAACAAAUAGGGUUUAGUUACUCAUGACAGAGAUAAAAGAGAUAGAGAUUAGAGAAGAAUUACAAGAAGGAUUCAUGAAUGAUUCUUGAUAAAACUGCUCCAAUGAUGUUAGAAACGGCCGUCUUUGAGUUUCUAUGCUAGGGCACAAGUCUCCCAACUUCCCAAUAGUGAAAAAGAUCCCUAAAACAGUAAAAAUCUGCGUUUUUAUGGUUGCUAGUGCGCGUCGCGCGCCCCAGGCGCAGAAAACACGCUCCAGGCGUGUUUGGGCAGUAGCAGAUGCUGGAAAAAGCGCUUCAGGCGCGCUUGGGCGCGCUCCAAGCACUCAGCAUCUGCUGUCCGGCAUAUAUUGCAUUUUUCUCCUCUUUCGAUUCUGAAUUUGGUUCCAGUGUCUUCAUGAAAGUUGUAGUUGUGGAGCUUAGCUUUCAUUUGCACUUGGUUUGACUCCAAUUGGACAUCUACAAAUCCAGAUAUGACUGAAAUACUCUACAUAUGUCAUAUUGAUUUCUCACCAAAAUUCAGCACUGCACUAAAACAAUAUGGAAUGUAAAAUUACGAAAAAUUCCUACUUAAUCAACGAAAUAAAAACACAAAAUAUUUUAUUAACUCAAAGAACAAAAAUCAACAAAAUAUAUCAAAUAAAUCCUUAAUUUAACUAAUGAUUGAGGAUAAAUAAGACUAAAAUAGUGGGAAAAUAUGCAUAUGAUGAAGAGUCAUCACAACCCCAAACUUAAUCUAUUGCUUGUCCCCAAGCAACAAUUAAUUUCAUAUUUGGUCCUGUUAAAUGCACACUUAAAUUCAAUUUCUCAAAUUACAUCAAACUCAAAUUUCAAAGUUCUUGCUACUGCAAAACAUUCAUCAUGCUCUAUGGUUGUUUUCAAAAAUACAGACAACAAGAUUUGUACACAUUGGCAUUCAUUCAUCAAAUUCAACUCUCUCUUCACACAAUCUCACCAAAAUUUCUCUCAAGUGUUUAGAAAGGGUUAUGAAUUUAUCGCUCAAAUCCUAGAACAUGCAUCACGCUACCAUAGGCUUGAAAAAAUUCUAGUUAGCAAUCACAAUGCAGUAAACACAUACAUUUUUGGAGGACUUUCGGGUUGUAAUGGGGCUUAGGUAAGGGUAGGACAUUUUAGGAUAGUAGGCUUUACCACUUGGAGUUAGGCAUACAUUUCCACCUUAUUCUACCAUUUUUUUUUCUCCACCUUUUCAUUAUGGGGAUUCUCAAACAUUGACAAAAGAACCAAGAAGAUAAAUUUUUUACCAAAGUACACAGAUUGAAUUUUUUUUAUCUUCUUUUUUUCUUCUUUCUUCUUUCAUUUUAUUUUUCUUCUUUUUAUUAUUAUUUUUUUUAUUUUCUUUUUCUGAGAAUCACCACCCCAAACUUAGAAAGUUGCUAUCCCAUGAGCAACCCCAAACUUAAAAUUUUAUCAAGACAAGCAUUUUUUUUUUCUACAUAACUCCAAGUAUGGUCAUUUAAUUAAAGUCAAUCACCACCCCAAACUUAGAAAGUUGCUAUUCCAUGAGCAACCCCAAACUUAGAAUUUUAUCAAGACCAUAAUUUUUUUUUUCUACCUAACUCCAAGUAAGGUGAUUUAAUUAAAGUCAGGUGUUUGGCUUGUAAUGUGGCUAGUAACCGAAAUAAAAGGGCAAGACUCAAAGGGGCUAGCAAAGGGUAAAAUUUUCCUAGGGUAGUUAGAAAGACUCAAACGACCAAUAAAAUUGUCUCAAUGUAUGCAUAAAUUAGAUGUGAUGUAAGUCAGAAUUAGUGCAAGUUCUAGAGGGAUAACACAUGUCUGGAUAAUCACACAACAAAGAAUUUAAGUGUUUAGGCUCAAAAGCUCACAACUAGGAUAAUAAGAGAGAGUAUGAACAAUCAAAAUAAAGCCAACAUGCUUCUGAAAAGUUAAAAUUGUAUUUUUGAAAAAUUGAUGGCAUAUUAGCCUUUUACAACCAUUUAGUAAUCAAGAAUGCAUGCAUUAGGAAGGCUUGUCUGCUUGAGCAAUAACAUAAUCUAAGAUAUGAAAUUUAACUUGCGAAAUCACAAACAGAAAUUUUAAGAUUAAGUGCAAGUUAGUACGAUUGUUUCAUCAUAGUACACAUUUAGUGAAAGGAAAAAAAAAAAAAGAACAUAAAGAUAAGAAAGUCACAAUACACUGACAUUAAACAAACAAAACGAGAAAACGGAAAGAAACAGGACAAACAACAGAAAGAAAAAAAAAAGGAAAGAAAACUUCUCUCAGUUUAGUAGUUCAAUGAUUCUCGUUUAGAUCAUCCGCUCCUGUUCUGCUAUGGUCGCUAGUAUACUGGUGAGGUGCAAAUAGAUCAGCCUCUUGAUGUCUGUUGAGCGAAGGAUGUACUUGCAACCUUAGUUCGUUUUGCUUUUUUUUUUUUUGGUUGCCAUUAGGUCUUGAGAUAUUGGAGGAGAGUUUGGAGAGUGAUAAUCAAGAAAAAGAGAUUGACCUUUGAUGAUAAUGGAGGAGGUUUGGAAAGUGAGAAGAUGAGGGUUUUAAAACUUGGCCGUGAAAAGCGCUUCUGGCGCGCAUCUACAGUGACAAUACCUAGAAAAAGCGCUUCAGGCGCGCGUUCGGUCAUUUGGAGUUGUACAAUCGCUUCUUAACCCAUCUUUUUGAUUCCUCGCUCAUACCAAACAUCAAAACUAAGAGAACUAGAAAUUAGAGACUAAAAUUGAAACUAAAUGGAGUAAAAUAAAUCUAAAAUGCAAUAAAUAAAUACGGUGCAAAGGAUAUAAAAUUGGGUUGCCUCCCAAUAAGCGCUCGUUUAGUGUCUUGAGCUUGACGUCUCCACUACUGUCAAGGUGGCAUAUAUGACAGGAAAAACACAUCAUCCUUCUUCUUCUUUUUGUUUGGUAGAAAUUCCAUGAACUUGAGAAAUAAAAGAUGUUGCUUCCAUGUCCUUCUCAAAUGUACAUUGAUGAACAAGGCAUAGAUUGAAUCUAGAACUUUAUCAAUCUCUUCUUUUUUUCUUUUCCUUAUUCGUCUUUUCCUCUUGCUUAUCUUCUUCUACCACAAUAAUGAAAUUAUCUUCAAUCUUCAACUUCUCCUCCAUCUUCUCAAACUUAACCACUUGUUCAAAUAACCUCUCACAUUGAGUUUCAAAUCUUUCAAUUGAAACCAUGUUAUUCUUCAUGAAUUCAACCAAAACGUCUGUAACGUGAAAGUCUUUGUCAUCUGAUUCUUUGGAUAGAAUUUUUGGAUUUAGAAUUGGUUCCCAAUAGAUCUUUUUAAUAUAACACUCGUCGUUUUCUGUAACUUUGAGAAAAAAUCUUCAUAUUCUGUUAGUUCAUCAAGGUCAUCUGAGCAAUGUCCAUUCUUAUGUGCUUCUCCGCAAAAGUCACACCUAAGAGGCUUCAUCAGAGGGAUCUGAGGGUGAUAUCUUAAAAAUGUAUAACUCAAGAUUUGCCCCUCAAUCAUGCGACAUAUACCAGGUAUAAGACAAGUAUCACAUUCUUCAUAUAAUUUUAGUAGAAUAUCAUCAUUAUAAUCUUUCAUGCUUUACAGCGAAUAGUUAUCUCAAACAAAGAAGAGACAAACCACUAGACAUGACAUUAGCAAGUUCAACAAAAAAAAAAAAAAAACAUAAAAUCAAAUAAAAUCAAAAAUUUUAUUGCAGAGCAAAAAAUUUCAAUUAAGUAAAUAAAUUAAAUUCAAUAGUGAUAUGGCAAUCCCCGGCAACGGCGCCAAAAACUUGAUAGCGUUUCAGCAAGUGUACUGAAUCGUUGCAAGUAAUAAUAAAAAGGUAAUACCGAGUGUCGAACUCAAGGAUUGCGUUUUACUAUUGAAUUAUAUUUAGUUACUAGAAUUGAACAAAAAGGUUCCCAAGUUGAUUGAAAUAAUGUUUGAAAUUAACAACAAUAAUAAAAUUGAUCUUUUAUAAUGAGAAAAAUGUCAGGGAUGAGUUUCACUUCGAAUCCAACCUUGGUGUCUAAUUUGAUCCUAGUUACUGAAUUCCUUUAUUGAAUUAUUACCGAAUUCUCUUUAUUAUUCUUGCCCUAAUGUCUUAGCGACAUAACUUUUAAUUCCAAAGUAACCCGUAAUUCCUUAGUGGAUUUAAGAUUAGAAUUAAGCAUUACCGUAUAAAAAUUCUCUUGUAAAUUAUUGCUUUUUCCUUAGUAGAUUUAAGAUUAGAACUAAGCAUUACAGUAUUGAAAUUCUCUUGUAAAUUAUUGCUUUGCAACUAAUUUAAUUGGUUUCAUGACCUGCACCUAUGUCUAGACUACAAAUUCAUGAAUUUCUCAUCUCAAGCAUUUGUAAAGUCCACUUCCGUUUCAAAAUACAAAUCGUAGAACAUUUUAAUGUUGAUCAAGCAAAAAAAAGCAUUAAGCACAGAGAUGAGAAAAAUAAUUCAAUAAACUCAUUCAUAUAACUAGAAAUCAAAUCAUAAAAAUAAGGGUUUCAUCUUGUUACACUCAUCCCUAACAAAUAGGGUUUAGUUACUCAUGACAGAGAUAAAAGAGAUAGAGAUUAGAGAAGAAUUACAAGGAUUCAUGAAUGAUUCUUGAUAAAACUGCUCCAAUGAUGUUAGAAACGGCCGUCUUUGAGUUUCUAUGCUAGGGCACAAGUCUCCCAACUUCCCAAUAGUGAAAAAGAUCCCUAAAACAGUAAAAAUAUGCGUUUUUAUGGUUGCUAGUGCGCGUCGCGCGCCCCAGGCGCGUUUGGGCAGUAGCAGAUGCUGGAAAAAGCGCUUCAGGCGCGCUUGGGCGCGCUCCAAGCGCUCAGCAUUUGGUGUCCGGCAUAUAUUGCAUUUGUCUCCUCUUUCGAGUCUGAAUUUGGUUCCGGUGUCUUCAUGAAAGUUGUAGCUAUGGAUCUUCGCUUUCAUUUGCACUUGGUUUGACUCCAAUUGGACAUCUACAAAUCCAGAUAUGACUGAAAUACUCUACAUGUGUCAUGUUGAUUUCUCACAAAAUUCAGCACUGCACUAAAACAAAAUAGAAUGUAAAAUUACGAAAAAUUCCUACUUAAUCAACGAAAUAAAAACACAAAAUAUUUUAUUAACUCAAAGAAAAAAAAUCAACAAAAUAUAUCAAAUAAAUCUUUAAUGUAACUGAUGGUUGAGGAUAAAUAAGACUAAAAUAGUGGAAAAAUAUGCAUAUGAUGAAGAGUCAUCAGACUACGACAUAACAACUGCUCUAAAAAAACAAAGUGAAGACACUAUAACAUAACAACUUCUCUAAAAGUGAAGGGACAAAAAGAAAGAGGAGAAGUGGCAUGGAAAAAAGUCGAGCAGAUUAGAAAAGAGAGAAAAAAGACUGUUGGGAAAUGCAUCAAACUUUGGUGUACUUUUCACAAGAGUUUGAAACUCAUUAUAUAGUGAUGGAAGCAAACCCACAUAUGUUUUAUAUCCAAUGUGAGACUUUAAUAUUUAUAGAGUUGAAAACUACUCAAAAUAUGUGAGUUUUCCAGUGUGAGACUUCAACAAUUUUUAAAUUCACUCUAUGUUCCAACAAUCCCCCACUUUAAUUUAAAAAAAAGUGUUUCUGAAGUAGCGUCAAACGCUUUUAUAAGAAUAUGCAUAAACAAAGGGGUCGUUUGACUUAAACUUUGCAUAGUAAGUAAGAUUCAGCUUCAACAAGAGUGACUCAUAGUCUUGAACUCUAUCUCUGACAUCAAACCAACACACAACCUUUUCAUAUGGUGAAUUCUCAAAAGCUCGUGCAUUAACGGCUCUGCAGUUUUAUCCCAGUAUAGUAAACACUCUACAAAUUUUGCCUCAAAAUUCCAUAGGAAGCGGACCCACUUCUACAUUCACAUAGGUGAAUCUAUCAAGAGUAUUCUUGUAGCUAGGUACUCCACUUUAUAUAAAGUAUAUAUCUCAUUACGAUUUUCUAUUAUCUCAUCCUUUUAUCGCUUCAGGAAUCACGCUUUCUCAUAUAUAAUAUAGCAUGUUCAUCUCAUAUCAUUAUGACUUGUUAUUAUCCAUUGAACCUAAUUCUUGGGAUCUCCAGUCUUUUAGGUUGGCUUACCAUCAUAAGUGACUCAUUGAUCUAUAGGCAACAGUCCAUUCCUUUUAGGUGUAUUUAAGACUUUCUCUCUACCUAAUCCUUUCAUCAAAGGAUCUGAUAAAUUAUCAUCAGUGCAUACAUGAUCCACUAUAACAACUCAUUUAGAAAGUAAAUCUCUAACAUCUUGUGCUUACGACAAUAUUGCCGUCUCUUAUCGUUUUAAUAACGAUUCUCAAUCUUCGCAAUAGUCGCGUAACUAUCACAGUGGAUCAACACAUUUGUCACAAGUUUUUCCCAUAAUGGGAUCUCAACUAUCAAGCAUCUCAACCAACUUGCUUAUUCACUAGUAGUAGCUAGUGCUAUCAUUUCAGACUCCAUAGUGGACUGAGCCAAUAUUGUAUGUUCUUUGAUUUCCAAGAUACAACACCAAGAUAUAGUCAUUGGUUGCUUUGGAGUCAUCUGAUAAAAUGUUCCAAUCAACAAAAUUGUAUCCUUCAAGGACGACAGGAAGUCUUUGAUAAUGUAAUAUGAGACUUAUGGUCCUUUUUAGGUAUCUCGUGACUCUUUUGAUAGUGUGUCAAUGCCAUACUAGGUCUAUUGGUGAACCUGCACAACAGUCUCACAACGUAGCCAAUGUUCAGAUCUAGUACAAUGAGUGGCAUACCUGAGGUUGUCAAUGAUGCUCGCAUAUUUAGUUUGCCUAACACCUUCACCAGUGUUCUUAAAAAGUUUAAAACUUAGAUUUUUUUUCUACCUAACUCCAAUGAUGCUUGUCAAUGGUGCACAAGCAGGUUUACAGUCAAAAUAUUUAUAUUUCUUUAGAAAUGUUUUAACAUAGUGAGACUGAUCCAAAGAAAUUCCAUUUUCUGACCUAGUAAUCUUGAUUUCAAUGAUUACAUUCGCUUCUGCGAGGUCUUUCAUAUCAAAAAUUUUAUACAACAAUGAUUUCACAAUAUUUACAAGAUGAAUGUUUGAAUCAAAUAUGAGUAAGUCGUCUACAUAUAGACAUAUGAUAGUACAAAUGUCAUUUUCAGAUUUGUAGUAAAUAUAUUUGUCACUUUCAUUCACUUUAAACUCAUUUGAUAUAAUCAAGUUAUCAAACUUUUCAUGCCAUUUCUUAGGAGCUUGUUUAAGACCAUACAAUGAUUUAUCUAACUUACAAAACCUUGUCUUCUUGUCCUUGAAUUACAAAAGAUUCAGGUUGUUCCAUAUAGAUUUCUUAUUCCAGGUCACCAUUUAAAAAAGUUGUUUUAACAAUCUGGUGUUUCACCAUGUUAUGGAUAGCCGCAAGUGAUAUGAGUACCCUAAUGGAUAUUAUUCUAGUGACUUGUGAAAAAUUGUCGAAUAAAUCUAUAUUUUCUCUUUGUCUAAAACCUUUGGCUACUAGGUGUGCCUUGUAUUUAUCAACAGUUCCAUCGGGUUUUGGUUUCUUUUUCAAGAUCCAUUUACAACCUAUUAGUUUGCAACCAUGAGGAAAGUCUACUAAAUGCCAGAUCCUAUUAGACUCUAGAGAAUUCAUUUCAUCGUUUAUUGCUUCUUGCAAUAAAUCUGCAUCUAAAGAUGACAAAGCUUCUUAAAGAUUUGUAGGAUCCUCUUCUAAAGUAUAGGCUGCAUAUUCGGGUCCAUAAUUUUUAGCAUCUCUAACUCUCUUACUUCUUCGAGUUUCUAUUUCGCCCUGUUUGAUGCUUCUAGUUAUAGGAACGUGACUUGGUUCAUUAUCCCCACUCUAUCUCGAUUUAAAAGGGAACUUAUUUUCAUAGAAGUCAACAUCAUUUGACUUUAUGAUCACUUUUACAUUUAGUUCAUAAAACCUACACACUUCGUUGUUUACUGCAUACCCAAUGAAUAUACAUUCAUAGGCUCUACUGGCGAGUUUAAUUCGCUUGGGAUCGGGGAUUCUGACAUAAGUCAGACAACCACAAGUUUGAAAAUAAGACAAGUUCAGUUGUCUUUUCUUCAUUAUUUCAUAAGAAGAUGAAUUGUUUUUAGAUUUAUGAACUCUAUUCAAAACAUAGCAAAUAAGCAAUAUAUUUUCCGCACACCAAUGAGAUGCAGCACUAGAGUUAAGCAUACUAGCAACAACUAGUUCAAUAAGAGUUCUAUUUUUUUUUUCAACUUUACCAUUCACUUCAAGAAAUAAUGGUGCAGUUUGUUCUAUAUAUAAUUCCAUACAAUAUAUAACACUUAUUAAACAAACUAGAAUCAUACUUGGAACUUUUUAAUCUUUCUACUAAAUUGAUUUUCAAUUUCAGUUACAAAUAUCCUUAGCAUGUCAAGUGUUUCACUUUUAUUUUUCAUUAUUUGUUAACGUCCAAUCAAGUGCACAUAUAUCAAAGCGUAAUAAAUCUAAAGACUCGGGUUCUCUAACUACAAAUUUAUGUGAACUCUUUAUUAUUUUAACUUGACUACAAAAAUCACAUUUUUCAAAAUCAUUUAAACAUAACUUUGGAAUUAAACCUAAGUUGCUUAAGUUUGAAAUCAGAUGUGUUCACAUGACAGAGUCUAGCAUGUCAAAAAUUAACACACAACAUGUAAGCAGAAAAAGACAUUUGAUUGAUUUUAACAUUCAAAUAGAAAGAGAUAUAUUAAAUUUCAACAUUUAAUUUAAAUAUGCCAUAAGUGACGUACUUUAAUACAUGAUCUCAUGAGUUGUCUUUUGAAUUUUACGGGAGUGAGCCUCUACAGAUCUGUCAUCGAUCAUCUAAUAAUAUGGGUAGUAGAUCACAACAUACUUAUAAAGAGCAUCUCAAACAUCCCUCUCAGUAUUGCUGGAACUGUAGUAGUUAUACAGAUUAUUAACAAGUUCAUUAAGAAUAUAAUUCUUAUCAUUAUUCUCCCAUGGUUUAAGUCUCUAGCUCUUCUUAUCCUUUUCUGUUUGCUUCAAACUGAAAUAGUUUAUUGAAAUCAAAGGCAACAUAACCAAAUUCAAUAAUCUCUUCGCUUACAUAGUAGAAAGAAACGUCUUAAAAUUAUUAGUUUUGAGUUUUGAAAAAUUGUUUAAAAAUCACAAUUUCUGUCACUGAAGAUAUUAUUAGAUUGAGUCACGGACUAGGUCGCUCUCUUUAAGAAUUUUCGUGACAUUGAUCAAAUUGUGCAAAGCAAACUAUCAGAUUCACUGUAUAGGAGUUCCAUGCACCGUAAAAAACCGUUCUAGAAUUACACCCUCAAUAUGGCGGUUAAAGCCACUCUCAAUAUCACGACUCACAAUAUGGUACUAUGACCAUUCUUAAAUCAAAAGGAUUACAAAACAAAAACCACUCUAAAAGACUACGGCACACAAUCCGCUACAAAAGAUUACAGCACAAAAACCGCUCAAAGUGGUAUUAGGACCACAAAAUCGACAGGACUACGGUUUAAAAACUGCCCUAAAAGGAUAGUGGUAUUAGGACUACUCAAAAAUGGAUUAAACUACGACUUAGCAACCGCUCUAAAAAUUAAAGGAACUACGACAUAACAACCGCUAUAAAAAACAAAGGGAAUUGACUACAACAUAACAAUCGCUCUAAAAAUCGAAGGACUACAACAUAACAACCACUCUAAAAACGAAGAGACUACAACAUAACAACCGAUCAAAAAAUUGAGGGGACAACGGUACAAAACAACUCAUUAAUAUCGAAGGGACAAAAUAAAAGGGGAGAAGUGGCUCAGAAAUCAGUCGGGCAUAAUAUAAAAGAGAGAAAAGAGAAAGUUGAGAAAUGUAUUCAAUUUUGGUGUACUUUUCAGAAGAGUUUGAAACUCAUUAUAUAGUGAUGGAAACAAAUUCACACAUGUUUUCUAUCUAAUGCGGGACUUUAGUAUUUAUAAAGUUGAAAACUAUUGAAAGAGAGUUUUCCAAUAUAGAAUUUCAACAAUUUUUAAAUUCACUCUAAGUUUCAAUAGUGACUAUUUAUAGUAAAUCUUUAAAAUAAAUGAGGUAGUGCUUCUUCUAAAAAAAAGAAAAAUAAAAUAAAAGAAUUUCGUUUGUUUUUAAAAUAAAAAAUCGAUAAUCAUACAUGUAGUAACUAUUUAUAGUAAAUCUUUUUAAAAAAAACUAUGCAAUGUAGAUAGUAAUAAAAUAUUAUUUAGUAUAAUAAUUAUAUCAAUAAAAUAUUUAAUUAGUCGACCGGAAAAUGGAAUGUAUCAUAUCCAAGCUAUAAAUAAAGAAUGGUUCUAGUGGUUGAUGAUUCCAAAAAAACUCAUUGAAACAUCACACAUAUCAAUAUUUGAAAUUAAAAUGGCAAGGAAGAACAUGGUUGAUCUUUUGGUGUUUGUAAUGGUUUUGGCUUUGUUAAGGACGUCGAUAAAUGCAAGCCUAAUUGAUGGCUUCAUGUGCAUCAAAGUUAAAUUGUCCUUGUAUCCAUGUGUGACAUUUUUGGAGAGUUCUACCUCAACAAAACCACCCAUUAAUUGUUGUGAAGGAGCAAAUAGUUUAUUGCAAAUGGCUAGCACAACUAUAGUUAGGAGAAAUGUCUGCAAAUGUCUUAUAAGUACUUCAACAAAAUCGAAAGUUAACUCUACUAGAGCAAAAGAGCUUCCACAACUUUGCAGUAUCAAUAUUUCUUUUCCAUUAA
rnacentral:lncRNA from 1 species